GACAGAGGGUGCGAACGUUGUUCGGAAUUACUGGGCGUAAAGCGCGCGUACGCGGCUUUGCAAGUCGGGUGUGAAAUCCCCAGGCUUAACCUGGGAACUGCAUUCGAGACUGCAUUGCUAGAGUAUGGGAGAGGGAAGUGGAAUUUCCGGUGUAGCGGUGAAAUGCGUAGAUAUCGGAAGGAACAUCAGUGGCGAAAGCGACUUCCUGGACCAAUACUGACGCUCAUGUGCGAAAGCGUGGGGAGCAAACAGG
rnacentral:rRNA from 1 species